rnacentral:rRNA from 1 species
CCCCAGUAUGCUUCGGCGGGCGGCCCCAGGCGGGGCCGCAGCCCGGGAGGGCGCCCGCCGGAGGACCGCAAGACCCUGUUUUCUUANCGUCUCUCUGAGUGGAAUAGCAAAAUGAGUCAAAACUUUCAACAACGGAUCUCUUGGUUCUGGCAUCGAUGAAGAACGCAGCGAAAUGCGAUAAGUAAUGUGAAUUGCAGAAUUCAGUGAAUCAUCGAAUCUUUGAACGCACAUUGCGCCCGCCAGUAUUCUGGCGGGCAUGCCUGUCCGAGCGUCAUUUCGACCGCUCAAGCCCCGCUUGGUGUUGGGGACCCUACGCGCGCCGUAGGCCCCGAAUUCCAGUGGCGGGCUCGCCGCGAUCCCGAGCGCAGUAGCUUUCGCCUCGCUCAGGGCCCGCGGCGGGCGCCUGCCGU